AAUAAAUUGUGAUCACAAAAGAUUCUAUUCAAAUUUUCGAGUAUCUAAAGAUACUUUUACAACUAUGGUACAACUUUUGGAUUUGCCAACUGGAGUCCGUUCAACACGUAUUCCUCUUGUCCUCCAGUUGGCAGUGACAUUAAAUUUUCUUGGAAUCGGUGCUUACCAAAGGCAAGUUAUUGCGUAUUGGGCAGCUCCUUUAGGCCAAAGAACAUUAUGGAGAGGAAACUAUGCCCACUAAAAAUUAAAAUCACCCUCUUAGCUUCAGAGAGAACCAAAUCCUUUUUUAUGAAAACUAUCAAAUUUCUGGAGUCAGCGGGUGCAUAGAUGGUACUCAUAUCAUGAUGCUACGGCCAAAAGAAAAUGAACAUAUUUUUUUUACAGGAAAGGAAGACAUAGAAUUAAUACUAUGAUUAUAUGUAACCAUGAAAUGAAAAUCUUGGCUGUAAAUGCGAAAUAUGGUGGAAGCGCUCACGACAGUUUUGUUUGGAGGCAGAGUGCUCCAAGACAUAAACUUAAUACGGAAUAUUUCGCUGGUACAUCAUCAUCAUGGCUUCUUGGUAUUUAUGCAUACAUAAUGAGACAUUUUCUUUCUGUUUAAAUUGCAGUUGACAGCGGUUAUACACUGAAACUAUUUCUUAUAACGCCAUAUAGAAAUGCGACCGAAGGUUUCCCAAAAUCACGCUUCAACAACAUACAUAUAUUCUCAAGCAAGAACUAAUGUUGAGCGUUGCAUUGGAGUGAUGAAAGGUAAAAACCAAUUGCCUUAAUCAUAUUAUUGUUCAAAUGUAUUGUAAACAAAUAUUUUCAUAUUUUUGUUAGCCCGAUGGAGAUGCAUUUUAGAAGAAAGAAAGCUGCGAUGUUCUCCAAAAAGAGCGGCGCAAAUAAUUAAUGUUAACAACGGAAUGAAGGAUGAUCUUUGGGCAAAGCG